CCAACAUCUUCCCACUGUAUCAGCUUUCUUCCUUUUCCAUUUCCUUUGUUGGAGCUCUGUUAACAAUGCUGCUCGGCACCAUCUUCAGCAUUGCGAAAGGGAAAGGCACUGAACUACAAAAAAAUAUCCACCUCACUUCCCCAGCAUUUUUGAAGAUAUGGUGCCGUUUUAAGUGUAUACGGCGCGCGCUGAAUCUGGACCAAAAUGUUCCGAUGACAGGCGCCUUCAGCUCACGUGAUCAAGAUGAAGACGAUUGCGUACAGUUUGAAACCAAACUUCUCAAAACAGAGGAAAAGAGAACAGAAGAAAAAAAGUUGAAGAUACAGAUUAAACAGCGUGAAAGACACGAUUUUCAUCUCGUACAGAACUAAGACAGCUUUGUUUACAACAUGUGCGCUCAGCGACCCUGCUGUUGUACUUGGCUGAACAAAGCCAAGGAACAGAGGCCAAAUGCACAAAGUAUUCAAUCAUAGGACUUCUUCGCCAUUGGUGAGCCGCCUUUGCUAGCGACCCGUCAAGCAUUAGGAUUGGCGGAAACUUUCCCACAAGAAAAUUUUAGUGUAGCCGCUUCUUGCAAACACGGGCAGAGAACAGAACAAGUGAUUCCUGUUUUCAACACGA